UACGGAGGGUGCGAGCGUUUGUCCGGAAUCACUGGGCGUAAAGGGCGCGUAGGCGGCAUGCCAAGCGUGUGGUGAAAGCCCGGGGCUCAACCCCGGGUCGGCCGUGCGGACUGGCGUGCUCGAGCACUGUAGGGGCGGGUGGAAUUCCGGGUGGUAGCGGUGGAAUGCGUAGGAGAUCCGGGAAGAACACCGGUGGCGAAGGCGGCCCGCUGG
rnacentral:rRNA from 1 species